AUCAAAAAAAUGCUUCUGCAGAUAAUGGUACAAUGAAUUAAAGCUACUUUUUUUUCAUUACUAUUAUCACUUAUCUAAGAUGUCCUUAAAAAAGGAAUUAACAUUAUGGAAAUACCCCAGUAUAAGUAGAAAGUAUAUGCAAUGCCACAAAAAUUAAGGCAAUUCUUCAACUGCACAAGUCUCAGUUUUUUAUUCCUACCUAUUAUGGCCAAGAAUUAAGAUAGUGACCACUGUUGGGCAGUGGGUAGUGGCAGCAAAUUGAAAUCACACCAAAAUUUUUUUUUAUAUCACAGGUAACCCUUAUCAUGGCCAGCCAAGGUUUGAAUAUUAAUCAAUUUUACUUCUCAGAGCCACCUUUUACUGGUCUGAAGAAGCUACAAUCCUAAUACAUACCCUAAUACAUACAAAGGAUGUUUGGUAGCUGUUACUAACAGCAUUAUGUAUCCUCUAUAUAUAUUUGGGAUGUGACAUGAUGUGUUGGCUUCCUCUGAUUGACUAUUACAUUACUAAUAUAAUAUGUGAUAUAAAGAUAAUAUCAUGCUCUCUAUUAUAGAGUUGAAAUUUUAUUUAAAUCCUAAUCACCAUACUGUAUUUACAAAAAAAUUCCAAAGAUGUGUAUUUACCUCCCCUAUCCUGUUGAUAUAUAGUUGCCUACUUCCUCUGUUUUGCUUUCUGUCCCUUCUGUGUGCUGGAGGUCUUACCACUCCUUGUCAACUUCCAGAGAAGUCCUUUGUAUACCUCUAAUACAUAAUAGUUCCUAUAGGUAUCUAGACAAGGCAUUCCUCUUUGAUGGUGGCUGGGUUUCACCUACCCAUGAUGUGAUCUUAAAUCAUCCUGAUCUGGAGAUAAUGUUGGUAAAUUUCUUGCAUGUUGGUUGUAAUAAUUUGCUAGAAUGUCUUGUCUCUGUCUCAAAGUCUCCACCAGGUUUUCUCUGCACAUGUUGACAUUCCACAGCUGGAUAUUCCAUAUUUUCCCCCCAUAAAGUAGUUCUGCAUGCCCAGGGACUUUCUAGUCAAUAUAUUGUGGAGAUAUAAUUGUGCUGUGCAUGGAUCUAGUCAACCAUCCUUUGAUUUUUUUGUAGAUCUUUCAGUCUGGAUUGUACUUACUAUGAAUCACUUCAUGGCAGGUAGUGUAGUAAACUUACUAUAUGUUCAAUUCCCCACUGUUCUGUAAAGAGCUUGAAACUCUUAGCAGCAAACUGUGUUCCAUGGUCAGUGAUAACACUGUAUGGCAUACCAUAUUCUGAAAAAAAUUGCCUGAGAGCAUUGAUGACUGCCAGGAUGAAACACUGUGAGAGCAUUUUGUGCAAUAUCAGGAUUUUUAAGUAGUUGUCUGCAAUGGCCACAUACUUAUAUCUAUCAGCUCUGCCCAUACCACUUGCCAGUGGUGUGUGUGUACAUCAUGAGACAUGAAGAGAUGUGCUUUCUGGAACUCGUGACAUAUUUUGCACCUUUGUAGCAUGAACUGAAUGUCCACAUUCAUUCUAAUUAAGUACAGGUUGAGAAUCCUUUUCCCAACAUUAAAAAAAACUUGAAAGCCUUCAAAAUCCAUUUUUUUUUUUAUGUUGAUAUGACACAUCAUAAGAGGAAAAUUUCACAGUGUUAGAAAGGUUCCACUUCUUACAACUGUCAAAUGGUGCUAUGAAACAUGAUUUCACCUAUCCUGGGUGGGGUUUCACCAGUUCGGGUGAGCUGGCAUUAGUUUGCUGUCAGCAGUCAUCACAGUAACGCCUUCACUCAUUACUCUUUGUGAUUACUGCAUGUUGUGUGCUCUAUGCUGUAAAAAUAUUGUUGAAAAUGACAAAAGAGCCUGUAGACACUGCUAUGGGUAGUAGUGAAAAGAAAAAGAGAAAACACCUUUUUUCAGAAAUAAAAUGUAUUUUUUCACUUACCUGUUUCUUAUAUUAACAUUUACAAUGCUUCUCACUACCCAGCCAUCUAAUCCCACAUUCAAAACAAAUUCAUUCAUAUUCCACCCUAUGGCGACCUCUGGUAACUCACUGGCAACCCUACCUCCCUCAGUUGAGACUGUCAUUCAUUCUUGACACAUGGCAAAAAGCAAGGAGGAUGGGAAGGCUAAGUAUAUAAGUAGCAGGUAAGUGAAAAAUACAUUUAAUUUCUGAAAAUGGUAAUUGUUUCACAUACUGGUUCUUAUACUAGCAGAUUCCCACAUUACAGGAGGUGGGUUAUGCCAUAGGAGUGGAAUAUGACAAAGGGUUAAUGGUCCACAUUAUAAGUCUGUUAAGUCUCAUCUCAAGUUUGGAUCCUGAGACAUAAGAGAGUAUCGAGGAGGUUGCAUCAUGGCUGAAGGUAUGAAUAGCUGGCUUCCUCUUUGAUGGUAUUAGGGAACCACCAGCAGCAUGCACCCCUGAGUCACUUAGAGUCCUGUAGUCACCACCCAUCCCCAACCCAAAUCAUGGUAGGUGUAGGGGAAGUGAGAAAAACACAAGUGCUCUAAUGAACUUCCCUUCAUUAUACUGUUGUAAGAGGUUGGCGUUCUUGGGGAAGCUAAGCCCCAGAAACUGUCAUGACACCAAUCAACAGACCCUAGCACUUAAGGCAAUUUGCUGUCAUAAAAGAUGGAUGUGCUGAGAAGGGAGUUAAGCUACCAAGUCUCCAGCAGCAACUACUGGUCCCAAGGCAAAGACAUCUCCCUCUUGCCUCUGAAUGUCUUGUAAGUAGUAGUCCACAAACACGGAAUGGGUCUUCCAGCAGCCUGCUUCUAAGGUGGAAGGGAUGGAUCUGUUCUUCAAGAGAAGCAUGGAUGUGGCAAUGCCCCUAAUGUCAUGAGCCUGGACCUUAAACAAAGGGCAUAAGGCUUCAGGAAUAUACUCGUGGGCUAUCUUAAAUGUAUCCUAAGGAAAAAAGGAGAUUGCCACCUUAGACAUUGGUUGUUUAGGGUUCCAUACCGACACAAAAAGAUUCCUUGGGCUGGAUGAUAAGAAAGUCACCUGAUGAUACCUGUUUAAAGCCCUCACAGGACAAAGCAGACAUUCCUUGUCUUCCUGUCCCACAACAAGGAAAGGCUACACAGCCAAAAGUCCCUAGGAAUGAGGUUAAGAGCUGCUUCUUUCUAUCUUUAACACAAAUUGAAAGAGGUAAGACAAAACAAGAUCCUCCCCAUGCAUGGUUGCGACUCUUGACAUGGCAUGAAGCUCACCAACCUUCUUGGCAAUUGCUAGAGCUACAAAAAAAGACUUUUUCUUGUCAAAUCACAUAAGGUUCAAAAGGGGGAUGGAUUAAGGCCAUGAGGACCAUGUCCACAUUCCAUGAAGGAGCUUUGCAUGGCGUAUGAUUAACUUGUGCUGAACAAGUGUUUAUGAGUUCCUGGAGAACAGGGUCCAAGGAAAGAUCAUGCCAUUUAAUACAGCCUUAUAUCCUUUAAUGGCAUUAUCUGACAGAUUACACUGUUGUCUUGGAUAAACUAAAAUAUCAGCAAAUUUUUGGUAGUGUGACACUCCUUGCACCACUCCCUGAGACUCUUCCACUUAUAUUGGUAGUUCAUAAGUGUGGAUGGCUGUUUAGAUUUCACCAGGAAUUCCAUGACUUGGGAGGAAUAGCCUUGGUGUCUGAGAACUCGCUUGAUAGCUUCCAUGUAGCUAACUGCAGCCCGAUAGAAUCUGCAAGUAUGUGGCUAGCAAAGAAGGUCCCUGCACUGUGGAAGGCACCAAGGAGUGUCCAGUGAGGCCUGUACAAGAUCUGGGAACCAUUUUCUCUGUUGCCAGAAUGGUGCAAUCAUGAUGAGGUUGGUGUGAUGGGCAGUCCUCAGCUUGGUGAGAACUUUCCUGAUCAGUAGGAAGGGGGAAAGGCAUACAGAUCCUGAUGAUCCCAGCUGUACAGAAAGUUAUCUAUGGCUAUUGUCAUUGGAUCUUGGAAUGAGGAAUCAAAGUCUGGAAGCUGAAACUUGAACCUUGUUGUGAACAGAUCCACUAUGGGUUAACUCCAAAGCCUCCAGAAUUGAUUGUAGACAUCUUGAUGAAGGGUCCACUUUGUAGAAAUUAUCUGAUCCUGUCUGCUUAGGCAGUGUGCCAGGACACUGGAUGACCCCUUUACGAAUUGGGUUAGGAUCUGGACAGAAUGAUCUGCCUUUUGAAGGAUCACUUGUGCCUCCAUACUGAGUAUCCUGGAGCAAGUCCUGCCUUCCUUGGCCAGGUACAACAGGGCCAUGGCAUUGUCAGAGAACACUGCCACGGUCUUGCUGUGAAAGUAUGCUGCAAAGUGAGUCAGAUCUAGAUGAAUGGCCUUGAGCUCCAAGAGGGAAUGCUCAUGUGGAUCCCACAGACCACUCACGGAGCCUUAUAAGACUGAUGCUCCCCAAUCCAAUGUUUGACAUGUCGGUGUAUAGGUACAUGUCUGGAUAAGCCAAUUGCAAGGACUGUCCAAUCUGUAGAUUGCAAUCCGACAACCACCACUGAAGAUCAUUUAGAAUUUCACCAUGCCAAGGAACUGGAAGGUCAUCUCAAUGGAACUGCUGGUUCCAUGAUUGUGAAAGGUGUAACUGGAAGCCUCUCAUCUUGCCCCAGGAAUCAGGUGGAUAAGAGAAGACAUGUGACCUAAGAGCUCACCCAGCUCUUGCUGGGGGAGUUUGAACACUGAGGAAGAACUUGAGUUGGUGCUGAAGACUACCUAGGAGCUGCUGUGUUGGGAGAAAGAAUCUCCAUCCCUAAAAAGGUCAUCAACUGGGAAGGGAUCAGCAAGGAUUUUUCCCAAUUUACUGGAAUCCCUUGAGAAGUGCACAGGUUGAGGAGGCAACUGCUUCCUCAACUUGUGCCUCUUGAGCUUUCUGCUCUGAGGAUACCAACAGCACCUAGUCAUCCAGAUAAAGGAGGAGAUGAAUACCCUGCUGAUGUGAAGCCACUGAAACUGCAUACAUCAUCCUGGUGAAAACAUUUGGAGCUGUGGAGAGCCUGAAGCAAAGGACCUUGAAUUGGAAGUGACAACCCUCCCAAAUAAAGUGAAGGAACUGGCGAUUGUCUGGGUGGACUGGGACUUGGAAGCAAACAUCCCUGAAAUCAAUAGCCAUCAUCCAGUCUUGACUGCAAAUUGCUGACAUGACUGUCCUUACUGUUUCCAUCCUAAAUGGAGUGGUAAUGAUGUACUGGUUCAGGGAGGAGAGGUCGAGGAUGGGGUGAAAUCCUCUGGUGGCUUUGGUCACUACAAAAAAGGUAGCUGUAACCUGGAGUAGCUGGUGCCUCUUCUAUUGCUCCUUUUGCUAGCCUUAGAUUCUAGUACCUUGCCCUUCUCGGAGCCCUAGGAAUAUGAUCUGAAACUGAUGGGGUCAGAGGUGACUGGUGGUGGUGCAGCAAAGGGGAUCUUGUAACCUUGGCUGAAAACAGUGAGAACCUAUGUCUCCACCACACCCAUCCAGAUUCUCGGCAAGACAACCUUCUACUGGAAUCUGGGAGGGCAGCUGAGCUACUUGUGAAAAAAACUUGCUUGGUGGCUUUGGUCGAAGAUAAGGGAAAGAUUCAAAAGUAAACUUCUGAUGUUGUGUUGGUCUUGCUUAUGAAGAUGAGUUCAAGUUGUGAUGUGAGGAGGCAGGCCAGUGAAAAUAAAACCCUGAAGGGUUAGGCCGUGAAUUAUGAUCCACCAAAGGAGUGCCUGGAGAUGGCUAUGGAGAUGGCAUUGCCCAUGCUGCCGUUUGCUGGAAAGAAAUUGAAGCAGCCUUAUCUGCUACCCAAAGAGUUUCCUUAAUCCUGUCCUCAUCAAACAGUAAGGCAGAGUCAAGUUAGCUAGAGAGAACCUCCCUGGCCACCAUUACAGACAAAAUGGCAGGAAGAGAAAACCCAGAAAAGCAAAACCCUUAAAAAAGGAAGACAUAUCCUAAGAAGCAUUCUUAGAAGUCCUGGAGAUCUGAGAAAUGGAAUCCUCCAGUCCCAGUGAACCAUGUCUCAAACCACUAUCUGAUCCAGCAGGGAGUGGAUGAAAGUAAUCACAUGAAGUGGGUAAGGGGGGGAUUUGAUCCUAGCCCUUGCCUUCCUGUAAGCCUUGUUCUUAACUUUAUACUCACACCUCUUCUACAAUGUCUGCUGGUAUUUAAAAGCACUGAAAACCAUCUUAUGGCUCCACUUGGCACAUUCUUGACACCUGUUGUUUACAUUACAAAAACCAGCACAGCAGACAAUACAUACAGUAUGGGGGUCGUAGUGGGCACUCCCAAGCACCCUCCAGCAACCAGAUGAAGCACAGACUUUCCUGGGGAAGUGCAAGGAUAAAGAAUGAUAUGAAGACAGCAAAGAAACAGGUGGAGUGUCAGUGCCAGAAACAUGGCCACUAGGUGAAUCACCAUCCUCCUGCCCCACAACAAACUGUUUGGGGGAAGCCUCAUCCUGUCCCCUGAAGCCGACAAACCCACUGGGUGGGGACAACACUCUCCUGAUGGUGUGGGAACUCAGCCAUAAAGCAAAAAAUGAGAGACAGCUGGAUAAUGAAAAUUGAGAGCACUGUAGAAACCUGAGUCUUCACAGAAGUGUGUCUCAAGAAAGAAUGACAGUCUCAGUUGGGGGAGGCAAGGUUGCCAGAGGUCACCAUAGGGUAGAAAGUGAAUGAAUUUGUUUUGAAUGUGGGAUUAGAUGCCUGGGUAGUGAGAAGCAUUGUAAAUACUGAUAUAAGAAGCAGGUUGCAUGUGAAACAAAAUUAUGUUUAUCUAUAACACAGAAAGUCGUCAAGUUCUUGAAAAAACAAACAAACUUGACAGCAGUAUAAGUGUGAAAUGUUUCACUGAGGAGUUUAGUGAUGGUGAUCAAUUUCUAGAAACUUGUUAAAAAAAAAAGUAAAAGGUUAACCCUUAAACCACAGCAUGUAUUGUAACUUGAAGGUCUCUACAUACUGGGUAAAAUAGAAUUUUUAAUAUGAGAAGGUUGUAUCAUGAAUGAUAUUUAUGGGUUUGUUGUAUUUCUGGGAAAGGUUGUUUCCACGUAUGUAGUGUGUCUAUUGUUCAUUCGCUGACGUGGCAGCGUCUCGGUGAUGCCAGUCGGGCAGGCCUGAGCCAGUCCUGCCACUCCACACCCCAUGGAUAGGUCAUCCUGCUACUGUGCUGCUCGUAGGCAAGGUGACGGUGACUUUGUCUCUUGUGCGUUUGGAUGUGGUAGAGCAAGGUGCCCACAGUGUGGAGCUGGUGCAAGGGCUCAUGACUGCUUUGGGCUCCCCAGGACCAGUAGUGUUAUGCUGCAUGGUAACACUCUGGGUGGUGACAAGUGCAGAUUUGAGGCGGCAGUCCAGCACGGCUUAGGACAAGAGUGCUAUAGGGCCACCGAAACCCUCUCGGAUUCCCCUCAGAUAUUCCUGUUGAUAAACUAUUUCUGAGUGGAUAGAUAUUCGCAUUUUUUCGUUCUUUUUUGUUGGUUUUCUCCACGGGACUAGUGAAACCACCUGGUUCGAGAUCACCGUGUGAGACUGUCCUCAGUUCUAUACAUACUUUUUGGGUAUAUAUUUGUUAUUUAUUUAUUUAUUCUCUGGUCUCCCCCGCAACUCAGUAGUCGCGAAAAUAUCUCCAUCGUAGGUUUAUGUAACUGAAGAGUACGCUACCAUUUAUUUUGUAUUUCUGAAUUAUGUAACUGAAGAGUACGCUACCAUUUAUUUUUAUAUUUCUGAAUUCCUUUCUUAUUAUUAUUAUUUCGGAUUAUUCCAUUAUUUAUUAAAAAUCAUAAAAGUGUCA